UACAGAGGGGGCAAGCGUUGCUCGGAAUCACUGGGCGUAAAGCGCACGUAGGCGGACUCUUAAGUCAGGGGUGAAAUCCUGGAGCUCAACUCCAGAACUGCCUUUGAUACUGGGAGUCUUGAGUUCGGGAGAGGUGAGUGGAACUGCGAGUGUAGAGGUGAAAUUCGUAGAUAUUCGCAAGAACACCAGUGGCGAAGGCGGCUCACUGGCCCGAUACUGACGCUGAGGUGCGAAAGCGUGGGGAGCAAACAGG
rnacentral:rRNA from 1 species